UCGUGAUGCGAGCUACACAUGCAGUCGAGCGGUAACAGAAAGUAGCUUGCUACUUUGCUGACGAGCGGCGGACGGGUGAGUAAUGCUUGGGAACAUGCCUUGAGGUGGGGGACAACAGUUGGAAACGACUGCUAAUACCGCAUAAUGUCUACGGACCAAAGGGGGCUUCGGCUCUCGCCUUUAGAUUGGCCCAAGUGGGAUUAGCUAGUUGGUGAGGUAAUGGCUCACCAAGGCGACGAUCCCUAGCUGGUUUGAGAGGAUGAUCAGCCACACUGGGACUGAGACACGGCCCAGACUCCUACGGGAGGCAGCAGUGGGGAAUAUUGCACAAUGGGCGCAAGCCUGAUGCAGCCAUGCCGCGUGUGUGAAGAAGGCCUUCGGGUUGUAAAGCACUUUCAGUCAGGAGGAAAGCUUGGUGGUUAAUACCUGUCAUCUGUGACGUUACUGACAGAAGAAGCACCGGCUAACUCCGUGCCAGCAGCCGCGGUAAUACGGAGGGUGCGAGCGUUAAUCGGAAUUACUGGGCGUAAAGCGUACGCAGGCGGUUUGUUAAGCGAGAUGUGAAAGCCCCGGGCUCAACCUGGGAACUGCAUUUCGAACUGGCAAACUAGAGUGUGAUAGAGGGUGGUAGAAUUUCAGGUGUAGCGGUGAAAUGCGUAGAGAUCUGAAGGAAUACCGAUGGCGAAGGCAGCCACCUGGGUCAACACUGACGCUCAUGUACGAAAGCGUGGGGAGCAAACGGGAUUAGAUACCCCGGUAGUCCACGCCGUAAACGAUGUCUACUAGAAGCUCGGAGCCUCGGUUCUGUUUUUCAAAGCUAACGCAUUAAGUAGACCGCCUGGGGAGUACGGCCGCAAGGUUAAAACUCAAAUGAAUUGACGGGGGCCCGCACAAGCGGUGGAGCAUGUGGUUUAAUUCGAUGCAACGCGAAGAACCUUACCUACACUUGACAUACAGAGAACUUACCAGAGAUGGUUUGGUGCCUUCGGGAACUCUGAUACAGUGCUGCAUGCUGUCGUCAGCUCGUGUUGUGAGAUGUUGGGGUUAAGUCCCGCAACGAGCGCAACCCCUAUCCUUAG
rnacentral:rRNA from 1 species